GAUGAACGCUGGCGGCGUGCUUAACACAUGCAAGUCGAACGGAAAGUCCCAGCUUUUGUGUGGUGCACGAGUGGGGAACGCGUGAGUAACCCGCGUGUCACCCGCCCUUAACUUUGGGAUAACUUUAGGAAACUGGGGCUAAUACCGGAUAUGAGCUCCAGCUGCAUGGUGGUCGUUGGAAAGUUUGGGCGGUUGGGGAUGGACUGGCGGCUUAUCGGCUUGUUGGUGGGGUAGUGGCUUACCAAGGCUUCGACGGGUAGGCGGCCUGAGAGGGUGACCGGCCACAUUGGGACUGAGUGAGGGACCAGCCUGAUACGGGAGGCAGCAGGCAGGAAGAUAGCACAGUGAGCGGACGCAUGACGCAGCAACGCCGCGUGCGUGAUGACGGACUGCGGGUUGUGAACCACUGUCGCCUGUGAAGAGACGUGAGUGACGGUAAUGGAUAAAGAAGCACCGGCUAACUACGUG
rnacentral:rRNA from 1 species